rnacentral:lncRNA from 1 species
GUUCUGCAAGAUAGUUCCAUUUUUAGGCUGACCUCAGCGUGAAAAUUGGCUACCAUAGCCCCAAGCCUCAUAUAUCAUUGCCUGUGGUAUCCUUCCAUGAACCAGUUCCUAAAGGAUUUCAGACAGCCAAGACCUACUAUACCUAGGGAUACAGUUUUUUGAUAGAGUGUUCCCUAGCAUGAAUCAGACACUGGGUCAAUUCUCAGUACCCCAUAACCAGAUCUAUAGAGAUGGACAGUGGUUAAGAGCACACAAAUGCCGGGCAGUGGUGGUGCACACCUUUAAUCCUUGGGAGGCAGAGGCAGGCGGAUUCCUGAGUUCAGGGCUAGCCAGGGCUAUACAGAGAAACCCUGUCUCGAAAAAAAAAAAAAAAAAAGAGUACACAAAUCACCCAAGGAGCUGAAGGGGUUUGCAACCCCAUAGAAGGAACAAUAAUAUGAACCAACCAGUAUCUCCAGAGCUUCCUGGUACUAGACCACCAAACAAAGAAAACACAUGGUGGGACUCAUGGCUCCAGCUGCAUGUGUAACAGAGGAUGGCCUAGUUGGUCAUCAAUGGGAGGAGAGGCCCUUGGUCCUGUGAAGGUUAUAUGCCCAGUAUAGGGGACUGCCAGGGCCAGGAAAAGGGAGUGGGUGGGUUGGUGAGCAGGGGAAGUGGGGGAAAGGAUAGAGGGUUUUCAGAGGGGAAACUAGGAAAGGGGAUAACAUUUGAAAUGUAAAUAAAGAAAAAUCUAAUUUUUAAAAAAAAAAAAAGAU